ACGCGUUAAAUCGACCGCCUGGGGAGUACGGCCGCAAGGUUAAAACUCAAAUGAAUUGACGGGGGCCCGCACAAGCGGUGGAGCAUGUGGUUUAAUUCGAUGCAACGCGAAGAACCUUACCUGGUCUUGACAUCCACAGAACUUGCCAGAGAUGGCUUGGUGCCUUCGGGAACUGUGAGACAGGUGCUGCAUGGCUGUCGUCAGCUCGUGUUGUGAAAUGUUGGGUUAAGUCCCGCAACGAGCGCAACCCUUAUCCUUUGUUGCCAGCGGUCCGGCCGGGAACUCAAAGGAGACUGCCAGUGAUAAACUGGAGGAAGGUGGGGAUGACGUCAAGUCAUCAUGGCCCUUACGACCAGGGCUACACACGUGCUACAAUGGCAUAUACAAAGAGAAGCGACCUCGCGAGAGCAAGCGGAC
rnacentral:rRNA from 1 species